rnacentral:miRNA from 1 species
AGAAUUAGAGCCAGCAGAAGCACCCAGGCGUAAUAGACAGAAGGCCACUAAUCAGCUGCUGUCACUUUGUUUUCUCUCAG